UACUUGUCAAGGAAGUCCUUGUCCACAACUGCACAGAUAUCAAGCAGAGGAUUUCCCAUUCCAAACAGGACAUUUUCACUGAGGCUGGUGCAUGGCUC